ACGAUCUUACUUGAACAAGAUUUGUUCUAUAAGCUUGUAGUAUUGUAUCUUUGAGUUUAAGAAGACAAGAAAUCAAGCCUGGUGGAUGAAUCAUGUCACUAGACCCAGAGUGUUUGGGUCCUAGUGCUGUCGAUGAUCGUUUUCAGCAUCGUAGAUCAUUUCUUAGCACCCAUGGUUGGUGCUAAGAUGGUCUAGUGGUUCUUUAACAAAUU
rfam:Solanum tuberosum cultivar DM 1-3 516 R44 scf00281_32, whole genome shotgun sequence.